CUAGGAACUGCAGAAAAGGAUGGGGAAGAGUCAGGGAAAGGCAAAGACAGGCAACACUUCUGUCCAUUAGUCAUAGGACAACUCUUUCAUUUCAAGGGAGUUGUUCUGAUACAGCUCUGCUCAGCACUGAACAGAGGGUGAUUAAUGUUUAAUUAGUUACAAUGCACCUUUUCUAGCAAUUAGUGAACACCUCCCCCAGUGAUUGAGACCAUCUCAGGGUCUGAGACUGGGUUUCCAUCACCACCCCAGCACCUGUCUCCUUGUUGCAGCUUGGUUUGGAAAAUCACCCACAUGAAGAAAUGUCCUUCUCUUUGCCAGCUGGGCUCCAGAGGGUUUAACCAACCACUAAUAGGACCCCUCAUCUGCUGAGUUUUUGCUCAUUCAUGGUCCUGCCUCCCACCACAAACAAAGCACAUAUGGAAACCUCUACUGGGAUUACUCCACUUGUGUCACUCAAAAGGCACUGACAGUUCCAGUGCCUCAAACAGUGUCCCAUACCGUGUUUCCACACAGGGAAAAGCUAAUAAUUAUAGCAGUGACUCUUUCUGUGACUGGGUAAUAUGUACAGGGUGUAUGAUCCAUUUCUCUAAAAGAAAAAAAAAAAAAGUACUUUUAUAUGGCAGCAUUGGCAGUGAAACUGAUUUUUAACAAGUACUUCAGGGAUUCCAGAUGUCACUUGACAAGUUGAGCAAAAGUGCUAGCUUUUCCAUCAGUCUGUAACAAGUAAUCAUCUAACAGUUGCAAGAUUACUCAAGUGGCUCUAAGAUUAUUUUUGCAGCCAAUUUCAGUCCAUGGAAUUGUAGAAAUAGUCCCUGUCAUGGUUUGACCCUGGCACAAUGCCAGGGCCUUUAUGAAAGGUGUAUUUUCAAAAUGCUUAUUGUGAGAUGUGACUCGGAAACAGAACAAAGCAGGUUUUAACUUGGGGAUGGAGGGAAAAACACAACACUUUAAUAAUCUACAACACAGAAACAUAAGGGAAAAAGAAAAAAACCACACACAACAAUCCACAAUGGAACACCUCCAAAACACUCCUCCUCCCCCCACCCCUCUAACACUCAAUCCCCUCUAACACUCAAUUUUCAGUCCAAUACCCUCCUUCACACAACCGCCCCCAGUUCAUCAGGAGAGAGGAGUCUCCCUCUUGCACCAUGGGCCUCCCCUGGAAACACAGUGGAACCUCCUGUGCUUCCAUGUCACACGUGUCAGCUGCCCAGAGAGAAGCUGCUGUGGUGACCAUCUUCCUUCCAUGUCCAGUGCUCUCACCACCGGCCAUGGACCCAAAUGCUCCUUAGGUCCUUUUAAGAAUGCAUUGCCCAGUUCCAAGAUGUGGCAGCCUCUCACCAUUUGGGACACCUGUCCCCCCCCCAUAUUUUUACUCUCCUGGGGCCUGGUUCUCGGGAACAGAGAUCUUUCGCUGAAGGCAGAGGGCUCCACCACACCCUCCCCCUCAGUCUCUGUUCCCUCUACUUCUCCUUCUUGGCUUCGGGCCAACUGCCUCCCUCAAGGUGCAUUCUCUGACAUCUCGGAAGAAAUUGGUUUCGCCCGUGGCUACGUAAAGAGAAAAGUUCAGCCAAAGCCACUCCAAUCAUCUCCUCCAUCUAGGGCACUCUCAUCUGCUAGCAUUUUCUUCAACUACUCAAACCUUUCCUUCUUUCCCAUCCUCCGUCCCCUCUUAAUCCUCAGCUGGGGAGGAUCAGUGUUUUUACAGCUUCCAUUGUUUCAAUACCAAAAGAGUUAAAAGCUCAGCCCGGUCUCCCAGCGGCUGGGCACCUUGCCCCCCCCACUUCUUCUCCUGGCCAUGGUGCCAGCACAAGAUACCAAAUUUCAAGCCAGCACAGUCUCUAUCACUCUCUCCCGGGGGGGCUGCCCAAACAUCCCAGGUCUCCUCCACCCUGCACCUUGCAGGGCUCCGGCCUCCCUCCCCACAGGCCGCAUGGCCUCCCCUGCCCCACCCAGACACAGCUGGGCAGGGAGAGGUCAGACCAGCUCACCAGCCGCAUCCAAAGAGGGAGUUUCUGCGGGACUGCUCUGCUUUUAACCCCUGUGUGUUCUCAGAGGUGUAUCCAAAUCCCCAGUGGCCACACUAGGUACCAAUUUCAAAUCUGGCCACUGAUUGGUUUGACCACGACUUUUCCAGAAACUCACUUCCGGGUCAAACCAAGACAAUGCCUAAUAUCUAAUCUAAACUGUGUUAUUGAAAGAAUUGCUAUGAAGGUUGUAGAUCAUCUGUAGGUCAAAGCACUGAUUGAAGUCCUGAGGCCUCAACACCAGGCCCUGUGUGAGGCCUGAACACCAGGCCCUGGGCCAAAGCUGACCUCUUGAUGAACCUUCCAACCAAAGGUUAUCUUUGCAUCUGCUCAUUAAUGAAUUAUUAUUAGCAGUAUGAUCUCUGUACAUUUUCACUGGUGAAAUGUGGAUUUACCUGUGCAUUUAAAAAUCAGACAAGGCCCCAGUCUGGCCUUGUUUGGGGCUUAAUGAUCAAAGUCACCUCCCUUGGUUCCUCCUUGAGCCCUGGCCAGGCUUUGGGAGGAACCCAAGAGGAGGAUGAAACCAGAUGUUCCUGCACUAGAAGUGCUGUCAGUUUGUUCAUUCAGCACUGUCAGAGCUGGGCCCUCUCACAGCGAGGUUGGAGCCUCACCUGUGGCUGGAGGCACCUUCAGGAAUUCCCAGUGUCCAGGAGUGGCUCUGCAGCCCUUGGCUGUGACAGCUUCCCCCAGCUGCUGUGUGGAUCUGGGGGAUGGUAAAGCCUGACAGGAACUGGUGCUGGAUCUUUCUUAAUCACUGCUGCAAUCUUUGAUCUUUGGUGGUGAUGAUUGAGUGCAUUGCUGAGCUGCUCCUAUUGUAAUUAUUUUCAAAUAAUUAUGUGCUUUACUUUUGUAAUUUUUGCAGAUUUACCUUAUAUAAAUGACACAAUUCCUUCAGUUGGUGUCUGUGUCUUUGGUGCUGACCCUGCCCAUUGGCAAAACUGACCCUGUGGGCUCCACAGAACCAAGGGGCCAUUGUGACACUGCAGGGCCUUGUGUGACCAGGGGACCAUGGUGACCCUGUGGGGUUUAAUGGAACCAAGGGGCCAUUGUGACACUGGGGGCCUCAUAGAGUCACAGAGACCAUUCUGACACUGUGGGGACUUGUGGGGACAAGGGUCCAUUAUUUUCCUCUCCCUGGCACUGCCCAGUUCAGCCUUUCCCUGCCCCUGCCCCAGCCCAGCAGAGCAGCAGAGUCAGGUCUGGCCCUGCAGCAGGAACUGGCGGCACUGGAGAUGAUCAAUUGUCUACACCAGGUGAGCUGACACCUGGAGCUUGUUCUCCAAAAUCCCAGGCCUAUGGAAACCAUAUAAUGCCCAUUGUGUGAGGAGGGGAACUGGAAGCUCACCAGCCUCAGUGUCCUGCCAGCUCAGCCAGGCCCACUGGAACAUUGGGGUCCACAACCACCAGGGACCACCAGAGAGACCCCCAGGAGAGUAGGGGAGGGGAAAUACGUAAGUGAUUUUGGGAAAAUUAUUAUCAGAUGUAUAUUUAGUCUGGGACAAUCAAUGAAUAUCUAUGCAAAAUACAGUAUAUAAAAAAGAAACUUUCCUGUACUCAGCAUGCACGGCUUUGGGAGAAACCAUUCCCAGUGCAUCCAGCUGAAUAAAGAAUGCUGCUUCUCAAUGCUA